rnacentral:rRNA from 1 species
CCUGGGGUAUUUGCGCAUGGGGGAAGCCUGAUCCACGCCAUGCCGCGUGGGUGAUGAAGGCCUUCGGGUUGUAAACCCCUUUCGGGGGGGAAGAAAGUGCUGGUGCUCAUACCCGUGGGUCCUGCCCUUUCCCUGCCGAGAGGCCCCGGGUUCAACCCGGGCCCCA